GACGAACGCUGGCGGCGUGCUUAACACAUGCAAGUCGAACGGUGAACGAGGGAGCUUGCUCCCUCCGGAUCAGUGGCGAACGGGUGAGUAACACGUGAGCAAUCUGCCCCGAACUCUGGGAUAAGCGUUGGAAACGACGUCUAAUACCGGAUACGACGCGGGAGGGCAUCCUCUCCGCGUGGAAAGAACUUCGGUUCGGGAUGAGCUCGCGGCCUAUCAGCUUGUUGGUGAGGUAACGGCUCACCAAGGCGACGACGGGUAGCCGACCUGAGAGGGUGACCGGCCACACUGGGACUGAGACACGGCCCAGACUCCUACGGGAGGCAGCAGUGGGGAAUAUUGCACAAUGGGCGCAAGCCUGAUGCAGCAACGCCGCGUGAGGGACGACGGCCUUCGGGUUGUAAACCUCUUUUAGCAGGGAAGAAGCGAAAGUGACGGUACCUGCAGAAAAAGCACCGGCUAACUACGUG
rnacentral:rRNA from 1 species